rnacentral:rRNA from 1 species
AUUGAACGCUGGCGGCAGGCUUAACACAUGCAAGUCGAACGAGCGGCGGACGGGUGAGUAAUGUCUGGGAAACUGCCUGAUGGAGGGGGAUAACUACUGGAAACGGUAGCUAAUACCGCAUACCAUCAGAUGUGCCCAGAUGGGAUUAGCUAGUAGGUGGGGUAAUGGCUCACCUAGGCGUCGAUCCCUAGCUGGUCUGAGAGGAUGACCAGCCAACAUGGAACUGAGACACGGCCCAAACGCCUACGGGAGGCAGCAGUGGGGAAUAUUGCACAAUGGGCGCAAGCCUGCUGCAGCCAUGCCGCGUGUAUGAAGAAGGCCUUAGGGUUGUAAAGUACUUUCAGCGGGGAGGCGUUACCCGCAGAAGAAGCACCGGCUAACUCCGUGCCAGCAGCCGCGGUAAUAC